GACGAACGCUGGCGGCGUGCCUAAUACAUGCAAGUCGAACGAGAGCGACCGGUGCUUGCACUGGUCAAUCUAGUGGCGAACGGGUGAGUAACACGUGGGUAACCUGCCCAUCAGAGGGGGAUAACAUCCGGAAACGGAUGCUAAAACCGCAUAGGUCUUCGAACCGCAUGGUUUGAAGAGGAAAAGAGGCGCAAGCUUCUGCUGAUGGAUGGACCCGCGGUGCAUUAGCUAGUUGGUGAGGUAACGGCUCACCAAGGCCGUGAUGCAUAGCCGACCUGAGAGGGUGAUCGGCCACAUUGGGACUGAGACACGGCCCAAACUCCUACGGGAGGCAGCAGUAGGGAAUCUUCCGCAAUGGACGCAAGUCUGACGGAGCAACGCCGCGUGAGUGAAGAAGGUUUUCGGAUCGUAAAACUCUGUUGUUAGAGAAGAACAAGUGCUAGAGUAACUGUUAGCGCCUUGACGGUAUCUAACCAGAAAGCCUCGGCUAACUACGUG
rnacentral:rRNA from 1 species